rnacentral:tRNA from 1 species
GCCUCGGUAGUCUAAUUGAUUAGGACACUUGUGCGCGUAAAGCAAGUGAUCCGGGUUCGACUCCCGGCCAAAAUA